rnacentral:tRNA from 1 species
UCCUUAGUGGUCCGGUGGUUAGGACUCCGUGCUUUCAGUGCCGUGGCCCAGGUUCAAUCCCUGGCCAGGGAA